UCUUUCAGACCAGGCCAGCCAUUUGACAGAUGUAAGCCACUGGCCUCAAGGAACACAAGCCAGACAGUGGUGGUCAAUGCAAACCUUGAGCAUCACUGGAAAAAUUAAGCAGGUGUCCUACUGCAUUAUUUCCAUACAUAGAAAAACCACAGAAAUACAUUCUAUUUUUAAAGAGUUGUUUUUCAACUAUUAAUACCUAUAAGGUUUAAAAAUAUUUUCAGAGAAAAAAAAUUUAGCAACUAGAAUUUAUAAUGCUACCAUUUACUAUCAUUAUUUGUCCUUCACUUCAUUUGUCACCUUACCAGAGAAUUCCUUGCCACUCUCAUCUCCUUAAUCUGCUUAUUUUUCUUCUUACUACUUUCCACUAACUGAUGUUAUAUUAAAUAUUUAUUUAUUUGGUGUCUGCCUCUCCCAACUAGAAUGUGAGCUGCCUGACAGAGCAAGGCCUUAGCUUGGUGUGUGUUUCUGGUAUAUCUUCAGGGCCCAGAACAGGGCCUGGCACACCCACAACUGAAUAAACUUUUGAUGAAUUCUGUCACAUAUUUAUUACAGGAGCUUAAUUCAUGGAUAUCUUUAACAGGACAUCAAAAACAGUAGAUCAUUUACAAGCCAAGAACAUACUGCUAACUAUUGAACCAGAAUGUAUUUGUUGUCUAUAGGCAGCAGCCUAUAUAGCAAAAGAACUCAAGACUUUUGACAUAGCCCUUCCAAGUUUCAAAGGUGUGCAACAUCUUCACCAUUUAUUUCCAUGGGAUCAUUCAAUGUGGGUGACAUUUAGACACUGAAAGCAGGGCAGUGGGACUGGCUAUUCAAUUCAUCCUCAGUAAUAAAAUCUAAAAUUAUCAAAACCAGUGUCUUUCUCAAUCAGACUAUUAGAAAUAAGUACCAGAGAAAAGAAACAGAAUAACAAUAUACUUAUACAUUAAAGCUUUAAAAAAGCUCCACCUUAUUUUUCAACUCCAACUGACACAGAAAUAAACUAAAAUUUAAAUAGAUAAUGUAUAGACUACACUCAUACUCUCACAUUCUCUCCCAUUGCUGAACUUAAAAAUUACUGAAUUAGAUUAUCCGGAAGGUAAAAGGACAAAUGCAAUAGGAAGGAUACAAUAAAGAAAGGCCAUGGAUGAACAAUGUAAAUCUCUGGAAGAAUUCCCAAACCUCAACCCUUUAGCACAGUGGACUACAGUACCAUUUUAUCCUUUUUAGAUGUAUAUGUAUUUAUUUGAGGCCACGUGCAACAGAAAAAUAUACCUAUUUACAAUCAUACUGCUAGUCAGUGACAGUACCAGACCUGUAACAGCGACAGUACCAGACCUGCAACUAAUGUCUCUGAACUCAUAGCUUUUCCUACCAUAUUUUGCAGUCUUUACUCUCAGAAAGAAAUAUGAAGAAACUGUUUUAAUUUUCAUGCCCUGAAUCAAACUUUGCCCACUCCAGUGUGAAAUGAUAAGAGUACCAGUCAAGAAAUCAGAAGACCUGGGUUUCAUCCUGGUUCAAUACUACCAACUAGUUCCAUGACCUUGGGCAAGCUACUUCACCUCUCAGAGUCUCAGAAAGGGUUAGUCUGAUAUAAUUUCCAAGCUUCAGCCAUUCACAGACUACAUUAAUAAUUUUAGCCACAUUCACGCUGUUAAUUUACUUGAUAUGUCACUUUGAAUGUACAGUUUUAAAAUGUAAAUAACUUUAGUCCUGUCCUAAGCAAAAUUUAUGAAAUUUAUGUUAAUAUAAUUUUUCUAAUUUACAUUAAAAUAUGUAAAUGAUAAUGCAUGCCCACUCACCAUAAAUUACAUCUUGGAAAGCAUAAAAUAUUUUUAAGGUCCAUCAUAGCUCUAAAAUUCUAAUAUGCUAAUUAAGUCUCACAGUUUUGCUAUCAUAAAAACAAGGGUUAAAAAUUAUAAUCUCAUCAUCCUGAGUUACGUAAUGAGCACCCCCACCAUUUUCCACAACAGCUCCUCUAUAGUCACAAAGUUGGCUAUUUCCCUAAUACAAUGAUUCCUUUACUUUUACUUUAGGGUUCUUACUUAUAUAUAAAAAUUACUCAGGCCACUGAAUUAAAAACUGGAGAUAAUAAAAACUAAGAGAAACAGUGCAAAUCACUAAAUAAAAGGGAUAUAUAUGUGUAUUUCUCAAUUCAACAAAGGUCCAAUAACUAAAAUAGAUUUGCUUCUGGGGAUUCUAAACAAAAAGUUGACCCCCAUCCCCCAUCUUUCUCUUUCCCACUACUCAAUUUUCAUCUUCCUCAGUCUCCAAAACCUUUUUAAGAAGAUACUGGAGCCUCCCUAAGAGAACUGAGUUAUGUGUGAGAAACAAGACACAAGGACACGGAAGUGUCACUGGCUGGUACAUACUAUUUUGGUAAAAAUAAUUUUUUUAGGGCUCUCGAAUUAUCAAAUUAUUACUGCUUUUCAUACCUGAACCAGCCAGAUGCCAUCUUUUGUGUCUUCCACAAGCUCAUAGAAGUGCAUUUCACCACUGAAAUUGGUACUAGAAACCGAUUCGGAUGCUUCUUCUUCCUUGAGAGCAGAAUAGAGCUCACCCUCCAUCAAGUCACCUGAAGAAAGGAAAAGAAUAACACUAAUAAGGUUGCAAGAAUCCUAGAUUCCCAAUUUCAGUAAUUCUAUUUUUUACACUGUUAAGAAUCAUGAUAUUGUACUUUCAUUGUAUUUUAUAGACAAGAACUACUAGAAGAACCUGGAUAUACCCACUUAGGAGUCAUACAUUCAAUAAAUAUGUAGUAAGAACUUCCUAUGCAUCAGGGAAAAGUGAACAAAAUAGACAAAAAUCCAUCUCUUAUAGAACAGGGCUUAUAUUUUAGUGGGGUUAUCACAUAAUUAUUAGGAACUUACCAAAUUUGUACCACUCCAAAAAGGCACAACUUUCUUAAUUAUUUAGUUUUAUGAAUGACACAUACAGGCUUCAUAUACAUUUUUAAACAGUAUGGCUUAUAUGCUUCUUACUUAAAAGAUGUAGAAUUGGGUUCACAGAAUUUGCCAUCAGCCCUGCUUAAAAGAGCAACAGGGUUUGUAUGACUUGGAGGUUAGAACUUUACCUGUUAGACAGAACAAACUCCAUAUUCAUAUACAAAUUUAUAUUAUAAAUUUAGAGCUUGUAUCAUUAAACAAAAAGGAAAGGAAAACACUAAAAUCAAAUUAUUUUAACUUUCGCCUUAAAUAUUAAACAGUGAGAAACCAAGUACUGCACCAUGAUAGCAGCAAAACCAUUCACAAUAAACACUUAAAUUUUAAACUGCUAUACCAUGACUUUUCUGCCAUAAAACGUGUGAUUUGAGUCAUACUGGGCUGUGCGUCUUAAAGUUAAAUGUGGACUUCUAGUACAUUCAAUGUGCCAAGUAUUUUUAGGCCCAAAAGAAGGCAAUAAUAAAUAACAGUCAAAAGAAAAAAAAAUGUGUGACCAAAUUAUUUUCCAUAAAAAAAUGAUGGCUUUGGCAGUUGAGACACUUCUCAUCUCUAAACCAAGAGAGUUUAUUUAUUAGAGAUCUUUUACCCUAGUUACUCCACUUCUUCCCCCUAUGGUAGAAAUAAGAAUCGCCAUAAACCAGUCAGCAAACAAGGGGCAAGAAUAAUAUACGAUUUUAUAUUUUCUCUAAAGAAACAUUUAUCACUUCUGCAGAGUGUGUUCCUCUCCUCUACCCUAAUAGUGAGAUAUGAGUUUUAUAACCCGCAACCUACAAAUAUCCAAGUGUUAAACUGCUAGCGAGCUCAUACUCUUGUCUAUCACGCUACAUGUCUAUAAGGUACUAAAGAAGGAAAAGAUUUGUCUUGUAAAAGAUACAGCUGACAAAAAUACUUGAAACAACAAAAAAGAUAACCAUCAGUUUCAGCUGCUUCCCACAGCAACGCAGAAAGCCUUUCUCAAAUUACAUUCCACUUUCAGGAAGUAUAUCCAAAGAUAUACUUUGUGCAGCAGUGAAAAAAAUUAACCAUAUUUCUCACCCAAUCCUACCAAAACCAACAAUUACUAAAAACACAUUCUUUAAGACAUUGAAUAUUCUCUCAGCACUAUUUCACGUAUAUUUCUCAACCCAUUAAACAAUGCAAGGGUACCUGUGACACAGAAGACAAAAAAAAUUUUUCUUUUACACAUCCAAGAUGCAAAUUUUUAAAAAUCCUAACAGAAAUAUAAUAUAAACUCGAACAUGGCAGGCAUUUAUACAAAAUGCUCGCCUUAUUUUCACCAAACUUAAAGUCUGAAAAGCUAAUACUGUACGGUGUAUACUGUCUAUAUUCAAACUCAUGAUUUAACAUUUAAAUCCUAGGCCCAAGUGCCUCUGAUAGUAAGUAUUCCAAAGAUGUGUCCCCACUCUGGGUAUCUUAUUAUUACUAUCGUGACAAAUAUUGCUAUUGACAGACAACGUUUUGGAGUUUUUCUUACGUUUUUAUGAACUUCAACUGACAAAUAAUGCUUUCCAGUUUGUAACUAGUUGAUAUUCCAGAAUUUUGAGAAAAUCACUCAACUUAGUAAACAACGCUAAGAAGCCACACUUUAAACUGUCAUUUUACGAUAACCUUAAAAGGAUACACCAACACUCCUCCAAAUAAUUUCAGACUCCUCCUCAAAGCUGGGAUCCGCAUACUUGAUUGUAGGAAGCUUGGACGAAGAAACCUGGGCAGCUUUAACGCUUCCAGGAAAGGCCUCACUCUGGGGGAACAGCCAGGUACCAGGAGGUACAGGUCGUCCCCUCUCCCAGGUGGAGGGGACCCUAGGGGAAGCCCGAUACUCGCCUGACUUUUCCACCAGCUCCCGGACAUCCUUCUUCUCGGGCAACCCUGAGUAGCCCAACCCCCGGCACUCCAAAAUGGUCUUCA
rnacentral:lncRNA from 10 species